AUUAAUUCAUACAGCAAUGUGCAAAAAUUCUUUUAAACGUAUUGGGCACAUUCUUAUGCAAGCAAAUAAAAAAUGUCAUAUUGCCAAAGGCUUGUGCAAGAGAUGAAGAUUCAACAGAACUCGGAAGCAGAUCUUUGCAACUUCACUGGCCACAUAGGCCAGCGUUCAGGACUAAAAUAAUUAAAGUUAAUGGCUUGAGUACCUAAAAUUUUCAACAGAUAUUGUAUCUUACAUAUGCACUUGUAGAUAAAAUAUUUUGAUCAUUUGUAAUGAACUUAAAUGUCAA